UGUCCCAGUCAAUUUUCCAACACAAUAAGUCUUAUAAAUUAUGUACAUGUACCAGGUACUGGAAAUGUUGAAGAUUCUUUUAAUGUGAAAUGCCACUGAUUUUUACUUCAGUUGAUUUCUACUGUGUGACAAACUAUUAAAUUUUUGUUAAUUUUUAAUUUUUCAUAUCUUUUUCUUCUUUAUUCAUUAUUACUCACUUGUUGGUGUGGUAACAACUAAAGAUGACAGGUCUGAAUAUUGAGACAUGUCACAUUAUAGAAAUGGCAUGCCUUAUCACAGAUGAGAACCUCAACAUUGUUGCAGAGGGUCCUGACUUAGUGAUUCAUCAACCUGACAGAGCAUUGGAGGUCAUGGAUGACUGGUGUACCAAACAUCAUGGGGAGGUAAGUGCUUCAGUAGUGUAGUGUAUGGCGUUACCUGUCACGUCAUCGCUCACAAUCUUAUUGGUAUUUAAGUCAAGGUACUUAAAACAAGAGAUGCAGUGUGGAGACACUGUGGCCUUAUGGUUAGUACGCUCGACUCCUGAUCGAGUGGUCUGGGUUCAAGCCUGGA